rnacentral:rRNA from 1 species
AAACGACUCUUGGCAACGGAUAUCUUGGCUCUUGCAUCGAUGAAGAACGUAGCGAAAUGCGAUACUUGGUGUGAAUUGCAGAAUCCCGUGAACCAUCGAGUCUUUGAACGCAAGUUGCGCCCGAAGCCUUCUGGCCGAGGGCACGUCUGCCUGGGCGUCAUGA